AAGUUCCGCAUCGAGCGCAACCCUCGUCUCCAGUUGCCAUCAGGUUAAGCUGGGCACUUUGGAGAAACUGCCGGUGACAAGCCGCAGGAAGGUGGGGAUGACGACAAGUCCUCAUGGCCCUUACGGGCUGGGCUACACACGUGCUACAAUGGCGGUGACAGUGGGAACCGAAAGGGUGACCCGGAGCCGAUCCCCACAAACCGUCCCAGUUCGGAUUGCACUCUGCAACUCGAGUGCAUGAAGGUGGAAUCGCUAGUAAUCGCGGAUCAGCAUGCCGCGGUGAAUACGUUCCCGGGCCUUGUACACACCG
rnacentral:rRNA from 1 species